GCCGGGUGUGUUGGCUUACGCCUGUAAUCCCAGCACUUUGGGAGGCCGAGAUGGGUGGAUCACUUGAGGUCAGGAGUUUGAGACCAGCCUGACCAAUAUGGUGAGACCCCAUCUCUA
rfam:Pan troglodytes isolate Yerkes chimp pedigree #C0471 (Clint) chromosome 4, whole genome shotgun sequence.